rnacentral:rRNA from 1 species
AGUCGGACGAGAAGGUUCCUUCGGGAACUGGAGAGUGGCGCACGGGUGAGUAACGCGUGGGGACCUACCUCUUAGUGGGGGAUAACGGUUGGAAACGACCGCUAAUACCGCAUACGCCCUUCGGGGGAAAGAUUUAUCGCUAAGAGAUGGACCCGCGUUGGAUUAGAUAGUUGGUGAGGUAACGGCUCACCAAGUCGGCGAUCCAUAGCUGGUUUGAGAGGAUGAUCAGCCACACUGGGACUGAGACACGGCCCAGACUCCUACGGGAGGCAGCAGUGGGGAAUAUUGGACAAUGGGGGCAACCCUGAUCCAGCCAUGCCGCGUGAGUGAAGAAGGCCUUCGGGUUGUAAAGCUCUUUCAGAUGCGAAGAUGAUGACGGUAACAUCAGAAGAAGCCCCGGCUAAUUUCGUGCCAGCAGCCGCGGUAAUACGAAAGGGGCUAGCGUUGUUCGGAUUUACUGGGCGUAAAGGGCACGCAGGCGGUCUUGCCAGUCAGGGGUGAAAGCCCGGGGCUCAACCCCGGAACUGCCUCUGAUACUGCAAGACUAGAGACUAGGAGAGGGUGGUGGAAUUCCCAGUGUAGAGGUGAAAUUCGUAGAUAUUGGGAGGAACACCAGAGGCGAAGGCGGCCCCCUGGACUAAAUCUGACGCUCAGGUGCGAAAGCGUGGGGAGCAAAAAGGAUUAGAUACCCUGGGAGUCCCCCCCCUAAAACAUGAGAGCUAGUUGUCGGGAUUUCGAAUUUCGGGGAAGCCGCCUAACCCUUUAACACUCCCCCUGGGGAGUACGGUCCCCAGAUUAAAAC